GCGCCAAUUGGUCGGCCCACCCGUCGCUCACGAGGUGGUGCCUCGCACCCGCCUUCCUCCUUUCCCUUUGCCCUCCCCUUCAGAAAAAACGGCGGUUGGGCCACGGCGGCCGCCAAAGGCGGACUAGAAGCGAAGGGGCAAAGAACCCAGGAGAGAGGGAAUAAGGGACUGCAGGAGGGCGGAGGAAUAUAAGGAGGAAGGGAGCCCGCCCAGCCCAGGCCAUCUCCGUCGAGAACAAAAUGGCGGCGCUGGCGGAGGGCCAACUGUGAGGCGGGGCCGCGGCCAUUCCCCCUCCGCCCCCACCCUUGCGCCGGCCCGGCCGGUCAGGGGGAACCCGCUCGCUUCGUCCGGCCGCGGGCGGGGAGGGAAGGGGAGCGGCCCGGCCCACUAUGCAAAGCGCCGAGCGCCGCCGCCGCUGCCGCCCCGUGGCAAAGGUUGAGGGGUUGAUGCUGUGGAAGACGGAUGAGAAGGCACUGCCUGAGAAGCGGGGUGCAGACAGUGGGAAGCUCAUGCUCACAGGUCGCUCUGUAACCAAAAGAAGCCGUGGGGAAGGAAGGUGAGAGUCAGGCAUGACUGUGGCUUGUCUAUGGAAAGCUGAUACUGGUAAAAUCCUUCUAGGGAUAUGAGCCAGCCUCACCAUGGGGGUUAAGUGGGACCUGAAAGUCAAGCACUCUCCCUCCUGCAGAACAGACGGGUUAUGGAGGCUGGGAGGGGACACUUUCCAGGGUGAUGGACAGCCCUUCAGCUCCAGGCCUCCAGGUGGCAAGGACUGGGCUGUCUUCUCUGAUGACCUUGGUCUAGCCCCAUGGAGUGGACGUCAGGGAAAGGCUUUAGUUUUAGGCCCAAGAUACACCUGUUCUCCUCCCUGGGAACUUGACCUUGCUUGGGCAAGGCCUGUCCCUUCAGCAUGGACCAGGUCUCUAAAGGGCCAGCUCAGAUUCCCAAGACUCCUGUGUGGAACAGCCUCAGCCCUCCCUGACCCCAGCUCCUCUACUGCCAGGCUCAAAGUCCUCAGUCCCAGAAAGGUCUCACAGGACAGGCCUAUAGGACACUUGACAAGAGGGCCUCUAAGGUAAAGGACAUAGGAAUUCCCUGCCUCUGUCCCUUUACAGACACACUGACUCCUAAGCUUAGCUACCCACAGAACUCUUCUUCUGGGGACACCGCUCAAUUUUCCAUGGAAUCCACAUCUUGGGAAAUGGUGCCAUGGUGUGAGCUGAAACCUCUGUUUCCUCCCUCCAUGGAGUGAGUAACUCCCUCCCAGGGAAAGCGGUUUUAGGCAUGAACCAUGAUCACGGAGAAGCCACUGGAGCCUGGGGAGAAGCCAUCAGGCCACUUGGAAGAAGGCAAGUGGUCCCCAAGUUACCUCUCAUCAGGCCUGGGACAGCCCUGCCUCGCUUCUUCAGCUCCCCGAAGCAGCCGUCGCAGACCUUGGCCAUCCUGUCCUUCAGGUACUUCAGCGGGUACUUGUUCCGUGAACAGUUCCGGCACACAAUCUGCAGGCCCAGGUGGGAAGAUUCUCACUCCUCUCAGUGCGUGCAAAGCAGACCCACACCCCUCCCCUCUGCUAAUCUGCCUACAAGUGCCACUAGGGAGCCCCAGGUUCUGAUUGUGGAGCUGUGCAUGUCCCCUACCUUUCCAGCAAGGUUGUGUCAUGUUUCUGGGCCAGUGCCUAUCUGCUUUUCUGAUAAGCCUGUGCCCUUAACCACUACAUGAUACUUUUUUCUCCAAGCACAAUAGCCACAUAUGCUGCGGUUUUCUGUUGAAAAUGUGGUGGUGUGUAAGGGGCCUGAGACUUGGAGCUCUGGUUUGAUGAUCUGUAAAAUGGGAAUUAGCAAUCUGUACCUCUCGGGUUGGUGUGAACAUGCCUCACUCUGGGGCCUGCAGUAGCUGCUGGACAUCCCUGAACCCCUGGCUGGACAGGGACAUGCCCUUACCCCACCCCACCCCACCCCCACGCACACACUCACCCCCGAUGGAGCGACUCACCUUGCCACAGGCAUGACAGUGAUGACGCCGCAGUGUGAGGGAGAAGUCGCAACCACAGUUCAUGCACAUCAUGACGUGUGUGACAGGCACCAGGGUGGGAGGCCUCUCCCCAAGGCUAACCCCCAGCCUCUCUCGUAUCUGCAACAACAGAAUUGGCUAAGUAAGGUGGAAUGUGGCCAGGGGACCAGCUGGAUGCAUGGCCCAGUGAGCCCUGCCCUGCUUCUCUGUGCAGGGUGUGUGCAUGUGUGGGUGAAUGGGUCCGAUGCUAAAGGCCUCUCCUGCACCCUCCAGGACACUCACCCUUGGGUAGGAAACAGUCAGACUGAGAACAGAGCUGGGGGUACUGUACUCCUUGGUUGCAUGGAGGCUGCCCCUGACUGGGGUGGGAGCAUGGCAGGGGUUUGGGGGAGCCAGUGCCCAAGGACAGGAGCCACACGUUCAUGUGGGUGUGAGUGGUGACAGCAGUGUCCACCCAGGGAACCCCAGGUCUCUGAGGCUGGUGGCCUGUGGACUCUGCCCACCUACUCACCUCCACGCUGUGGUGGAAUGCAGCCAGAGCUUGGGCCUUGUAGUCCUCAGGAAGAGCUCUGCUCAGACAGCCAUACCACUCGUCCCUCUCCGCACAGGAGCUGCAGGCAUGGGCUGGAGUAAGCAAAGGCAGGAGGGGCUCUGCCUCCCACCCUCCAUCUCAGCAUGGAUGAGGUCCUCACUCAGCUGCUCCAUUCUCCUCCCUUGAGCCUGGGCCUCUCACACUGCCCAGAACCACCACCAAAGAACAGAUCACCUGCCAGAUAUGGUUUACUAGCAGACCACCAGUCCAUUAGCUGUCCUUGGGCCUGUAUCUUCUUACACUGGAAUAACAGUAUUCCCCUAACUCGCUGGGCUGCUGUGGGGAUAAAGGGAGAUGUGGGACAUGGAACCACACUGUCAAAUAGCAAAGCAUCAUGCAAAAGCAAGAGACAUUAGGAAGGCCCAGAGGAUCCCACACUUUAGGAGCAAUCGGCUGGCAGGGGACAGAGGGCUGGGUACCUGUGGAGGACAAGAGGUAAGUGGGAGUUGGCAAAGGUGAACAUCUCUGUCUCCCACCUUCCUCAUUCCCCCACAUAGUUUCCCAGACAGUCAUCCAGCAGGCAUUUUCCAAGUCCCUGCUCUGCACCAGUGAGGGCUUCCUGAGUGGCAUGAGCUAUGCCUGGGCUGUGUGCCCAGUAGCUGAGUGGGGUUCUCAUAGUGUCCACUAGGUGCCGCGCCUACACCACAGGUAAGUGUGCAGCCUGCCUUGGAAAGCAGGCGGAAGAGCUGCCAGCCUUGGCAGGAGCAGGGCUGCGGUGCAGAGGCUGAAUCAGCAUUGUGGGCAGCAAGAUGCCAUGUCCCUAAAAGACGAUGAAUGAGUCGUACUGUCCCCUGGGAGCUUCAGUGUGGAGGGUCUGAACUAGCAGGAAGGUGACUUGAGCAGCCCCACCUGAAGGCCCACAUGUGGAUCGUCACCACCUUCCUGUCAUGGUUGGACCAACGGAAACUAUACCCUGGGCUGCCUCCUGCCCUCAAUUUUAUCACAAGGAGAGGUGAGGCCACAGUCCCCACCCAGGCAUUACCACGCCCAGAAAGCCUUCCCUCCUCCAGAUGGGGCAGUCCCCUCCUUUGGGUUUCCAAGCCCUCUUCCUUUCCCUUAUGCCAUAGACUGUAAUAGAUAAAGAGUUGUGGACCACACAGUCCUGGGUUCAAACUCCAGUUCCACAUCUGGCUGUGUGACCCUUUGGCAGGCCUCAACUCCCUAUGCAUGGAAGGAGCUUUAAACCUCAACUAAAGGGUGGUGAUGAGGAUCAUGGGCAGUACCUGGGGCCAGUUUACAACUCUCCUGCCUGUAAUGCAGGCUCCUGGAAAGCACAAGGGCUAAAUUGUGUUCUCAGCCCUGGACCUGGCACUGAGGUGUGGCUAAUAAAUGCUUAACACUUUUUUUUUAAGAGAUAGGUCUUAUUAUGCUGCCCAAGCUGGUCCCAAACUCCUAGCCUCAAGUAAUCCUCCAGCAUCAGCCUCCCAGAGUGAUAGAAUUACAGGUAUAAGCCACCAUGCCCCACCUAAUAAAUGCUUUUAAUGAGAAAAUGCAUCUAUGAGAGUUCAUGUGCAUGAGUGGAUUUAUAUCCCAUUUCACACUCAGAACCACCGCAAUUCAGGAUUAACGCCCACAUGAUGGGCACCACUGCCAUUCCAGGCUCACAUGCUUGGUAUGGGGAGAUAUCCAAGCCCCGGAAGCCUUGCUGACCCCUGCCAUGCCCGUCCCUGGCUGAAGAGCUGCCCUUGGCUGGAGCCACACCUUUCUGGUUUCCAAGCCCCAGAGAGCUCGAGCUUACCUUGCCCUGAGAGAAGGAAAGGGGGAUGCUUAAGGUCAUGGUCUGAAGCCGGAGAUCAGGAUCCCAGGCAACCCGAGGGCCUGGAGAAAAUGCAGACCUUUCUGAUAGAAAGGCUAUGUCCCCUGCUGUAGUUGGAAUGUUUGUGUUCCCCCAUAUUCAAAUGCUGAAAUCCUCUUCCCAAAGAUGAUGGUGUUGGGAGGCAGGGCCUUUGAGAGGUGAUGUGGUCAUGAGUGUGGAACCCUCAUGAAUGAGAUUAGUGCUCUUAUAUAAGAAGCCCCAGAGAGACCCCUGCCCCUCCCACCAUAUGAGGUGGUACCAUCUAUGUGAGAAGGCACUGUCUAUGAACCAGGAAGCAGAAUCCUGCUAGACACUUGAAUCCACCAGUGGCUUGACCUUGGGCUUCCUGACCUCCAAACUUGAGAAAUUUCUGUUGUUUAUAAGCUACCCAGUUUAUGGUAUUUUUGUUAUAGUGGCCUGAAUGGACUAAGACAACCCCCAGACAGGACAAGAUACGUGAUGAAAGCUCACUUACUAUUUUUUUCUCUCCCCUAGAUAGGAAAGCAAAAAGGCCACUUUAUGAACAAAAGCACACAAUACAUUUUUUUACUUGCCUUAACUUUUCGUAUUGCUGUAAAGACCUGAUCAUCCAAAAAGAGCUCCACAAACAAAAGACAUUUUGCCUUAUUUAAGCAAUGGACUCUAGAAACCCCUGGAGUUACAUAUAAAAUUUUGUGAGUAUGUACAUUUUUCUGUGGGAGAGAAGUUCUUAUCAAUUUCCCCAAAAUGGUUAAAAGACACUGAAAAGAAAAAAAGUCCUUUGAUCGAGAAGGAUACCAACAGCACAUCCUCAUCUGCUGUUCUGAACGUUCCCAUGCUCAUAUCUGCCUUGUGUGCCAUCCUCCCUCCCCUGCCCGUACCUUGCAGACAGCAUCAGGCAGGACUCAGAAGUCUCGAUCUUUAGAGCAUAGGGCACUUUCUCCAUCACAGGGCGGCUGACCUGGAAAACCAACAGCAGCCUCCUUCAGGGAGGGGCAAGUGCAGACUGGCUUCUGACAGCAGAUGACAGUGGGACCAUGCCCACCUACUGCCAUUCUCUAGCCUCCAGGCAUACAUUUCUGUGAUGGCAGGUGCUGUCCCAGGGGCCUGUCAGCUUCAUCAUCCUUGGCCACUCACCCACCGCUGGGACGGCCAUGGAGCAUCACAGUCAAGGCCCAGCCUGGGCAACCCCAGGUAUAGUGUCAUGUUGGACAAGUACCUGCCCAGUGACCAUGUCUCCCAUGGCUUUUUCUAACAGUCUCCUUGGUGGAGCUUUUGGUUCCAAAAGGGAAGGAACCUCCAUGCUGAGAAAGGGCUUCCUCCUUCCCCUUCCCCAUAGCAAAGCACCUACAGGAUCAAGAGAGAUGGCACAAUGCCUCUUAUAGCUCUCCUGGCCAUCCUUGCUUCUGCCCUUGACAAUGACAACUACCUGCGGCUCCACUGUCCCACCUCAGUGUUUCCCUCUCUGACCUUAAGCCCGCUGCUGCACUGGAAUUAACUUCCUAAAACCUCCUGCUCCUCAAAGUCCCCAAUACCUCCCAAGCGUUUCCAUCUUUGGGACCAAGUUACACAGAGCUAAGCCCCACACAUACACCCAUGUUCACAGCAGCAUUACAACAGCCAAAAGGUGAAAACCACCCAGUGUCCACUGACAUGGGAACAGAUAAACACCAUGUGGCCUGUCCACACAACAGAAGGAAACUAUGACUCAUGCUACAGACAACAGGGAUCAAUCUUGAGGACACUGUGCUAAGUGAAACAAGUCUAGGAUCAAUACUGUGUGACUCCAUUCAUUCAAGGUACCAAAUAGUCAAAUUCAUGGAGACAGAAUGGAACGGCAGGUGCCAGGGGCUGGGAAGUAGAGGGGAAUAGGGAGUCAGUGUUGAAUGUGGGCAGUUUCAGUCUGGAAAGGAGAGGAAAGAGUUCUGACAUGGAUGGUGGUGCUGGAUGCACAGCAGUGUAAAUAUGCUUAGUGCCACUUUAAAAAUGGUUACUUUUAAAAUGGUAUGUGUAUAUUACCACAAUUUAAAAAUUAAUAAACACGUACUUGUUCCCCCAACCCAGGCCCUUCCUUAUGCAAUAUCCUCAUAGGAUGCUCUUCCCUCCCUCCCUUCCUGAUCCAACCAAAUAUUAACCACUCUUAAGGGUUCAGUCCCUUCCUCCUGGAAGCCCUCCAUCCCCCCCUCCCGUCUCCCUGGGCAACUUGCAGCACAAACCUGCUGUAGCCCAACUCUGUCCAUAGGCCUCCCUCUUCCAGCUGGUCUGGAUGCUCCUCAGAGCAGGAUGCUGUCCCCUUCUCUCCUGGGGUCUCCCUGUCCCCCAACCCCAGGGUGCCUAGCACCAGACAUUUACCUUCAUGCUGGCCACAGCCAAUGUGUUCUUCAGUUGGUACUUCCCAUCCUUCUGGGGAUAGGUGUACAGGAGCACAUCGUUCAUCUAGAGAGAGAGAGAGACACUGUUAGAGGCCCUGGCCCCAGAAGGCUGUGCCAGGCUUCUGUCCUCAAAAGAUCCCUGAGCUCCAGUGUGCACAGGCAUCUUGCAUUCCUCAGUUACCUAACAGGUGAAUGGAUAAACAAACUGGUCUGUCCCUACCACAGAAUGCCUUCUAGCAACAGGAAGGAGCACCCUGCCAAUGCACACCACCACAUGGAUACAUCUCAAAAUCAUGCUGAAUGAAGAAGCCAGGCACAAGAGAGUAUACGCUGUUUGAUGACAUUUCUAUGACAUUCCAGAACAGGCAGAGCUAAUCUAAAUAGGGACAGAAGUCAGACAGAGCCUGCUGAGGGGACAGAAUGGAUGAGGCUUCCCACAGUCAGCUCUUCUCAAGACUUCACAGUUCCAGCCAUGGCAGUGCAGGAGACCUGGCCCAAUACUGAUCCCCUAUGGGACCUCAGGAACACCUCCCUCUCUCUGGGCCUUGAUGUCUCCCAACAGAGUUGAAACAAAAAUGAAGCCUGGAAAGGCCUGCCCCAAAUCCAACCUCCUGUACAAGGAAGGACUGGGACCCAAGCCUGGGCCUGCAGGGCACCACCACCAUCGCUGUGUGUGCUGUGGAGGAAGCUGCCUGGCCUUGCUGUGCUGCCCAACAUCCCUGUUUUUCUGUGGACAACAGCUCCUACUCUCUGUAAUCCAGCGUCCCUCAUGAGGCCUGAAGCAUGAGAACUUCACCAGACCCAAAGCUGGCCUCAGGCUUUCCUGGCUUGCAGCCCAGAGGGGUCUCCAAGGGGGAGCAGCCCAAAAACACAGCACCUGUGGAGGAAACUGGGUCCACACUCUGUGAAGCCUCAUGGUUAGAAAAAUAAGUGUGCCCUGUCAGUACCUCACUGGGUUAGCCAUAAAAUGUAAAGUGACAGCCCUGUCUCCUCUGCACAGCACCCCACAAUCCUGGAUACAACAAGCACCCACCACCCGCACCGUGGGCAGGUGCUCCUUGAACCUUAUACAGGGCAGGUUCUAAAGGCGUAAGGUGAGCACUGUGGGUAGAUAAUGUACCCUGAAAAAUCCUUUCCAUUAUCUAUGGUUUGGGGCAUAAAAUUUUACGUAGUAAAAAAAUGAGUAACUGUGGUUCCAUUUCUGCUUAUGAUGUAGGAAGUAUAAGAGAACACUGCUAUCAUUGUAGUGAGAAAAAGCCAGAUAACCUUCAAAAUCAUAACUUUGCUUCAGCCUGUGGGAGAGCUAGGGUCACAAGGCAACUGAGUGUGCUGGGUUCUGCCUGGCAAGCCCAUUCACAGAGGAAUGAGAUGCAGGGACGGCCGCACCCCUGGCGCCACACAGGAGGCAGAGGUGGCUGGUUAAAGGAAGGUAAGAAGAGAGCAGAGAAAAUGUCAAUAAAUUCUUAAAGGAGAAGUGUGGACUGGUGCCAGUUUAGAGUAAUGGGGAGCUGCAGACUGAGGGAAUCUGUCCUUACUCAAAAGCACUCAUUCACAAGUCUCUGCCCACAAGGAAGACUAGGGUAGGGCAGGGCCACAUGCAAAACCCUGCCCACUUCCUCAGGCCCUCUCUCAUGCAAGGCUUCAGCUCCCUGGGGAGACCAGGAGAUCUCCCACCCCCAGAGCCCAGGCAAAGAUCUGCUGCUCUAGGGAAAGAGAGCAAAAGCUGCACCAUAGGAGGGGGGCGGUAACCCCUUGGACCCAGUAUUAUGCAUCAAUGCCCUGCUGGGGGAAAGCCAGAAACCUGUCUAAGGCCAGCCACAGAGCCACAGAGCUCAGCUACCAUGGAGGGGCGAGUCUGGCUCACAGGCUCUGCUUCAGAUGGAGGCAUAUGCCCACCAUAAGCCCAGCGCUGAGUGACACAGGGCAGUAGCCUGCUUCUGGGAAGGACCAGAGCAUGGAGAGACGGCCUUCCUGUGGUGCAGGGAGGGCUAAAGGCUGAAUAUGGAGCAGGAAUGAGAAAAAAUCUCUUUGACCCACCCAACAGGUCACAGCAGCCCCUGCUGGAGAAGCAUGAAGCCUGGCAGGCACUGAAGAUUGAUGACAUGUCAGCAAAACCCACACCCAGCUCAGGUGCUGACUGGACUGACCUGACUACCCUGUCCCCCACCAUGAACAGCAUGAUCAAAAAACAGGCUUGCCCCCCUUGGGGGGUAAAUAUGAUUUAUCUCAGUCUCUACAGUGCUUCUACACAUAAUACCUGGCUUUCAGUAACAAAUUAUGAGGAACACAAAAAGCAAGCAAAAAACUCCCCAACCCCAACUCACUUUCAAGAGAAAGCAUUCCACAAACCAGAGUGAGACGGGACACAGGUGUCAGAGCCAUCAGACCUUAAAGUAGCUCUGACUGGGGGGUAAAAGGACCUGGCAGGAAAGGUGAAUACCACCUUUGAGCAGGUGGAGGAUUUUGGCAGAGAUGAAAACCAUACAAAAGAGUCCAGUAGAAAUUUUAAAAGUAAAAAAUCAGUAUCAGAAAUAAAGAAUUCCGGGCCGGGUGUGGUGGCUCACACCUGUAAUACCUGCACUUUGGGAGGCCGAGGCGGGUGGAUCAUGAGGUCAAGAGAUGGAGACCAUCCUGGUCAACAUGGUGAAACCCCAUCUCUACUAAAAAUACAAAAAAUUAGCUGGGCAUGGUGGCGCGUGCCUGUAAUCCCAGCUACUCAGGAGGCUGAGGCAGGAGAAUUGCCUGAACCCAGGAGGCAGAGGUUGCAGUGAGCUCAGAUCACACCAUUGCACUUCAGCCUGGGUAACAAGAGCGAAACUCCGUCUCAAUAAAAAAUAAAAUAAAAUAAAAGAAAGAAAGAAUUCCUUUGACAGGCUUAGCAGCAAAUGGAACACAGCUGAGGAAAGACUCCCUGAGCUUGAAGAUAGACUAGUGGGGAUGACCCACACCGAAACACAAAGAGUGGGGAAAAAGAACAGAGCAUCCAACAGGAUUUCCCAAAAUUAAUGAAUGACAACAAACCACAGAUCCAAGAAGCUCAAGAAUCACAACUGGAUAAAGAGCGCCCCAUCCUCCACAAAACACACACACACACAUCACAGCCAAACUUCCCAAAAUCAAAUCAAAAGGGAAGAUCUUAAAGGCAGCCAGAAAAAAAGGGACACAUUGCACAAAGACAGACACGAGUAUCACAGCAGUCUUUCUGCCAGAAAUGAUGUAAGCCAGAAGACAGCAGAGUGGCAUCAAAGAAAAACUGUCAAUCCAGAUUUCUAUACCCAGGAAAAAUAUCUUUCACAGAUUGUUCAAGGUAAAUUGAGUAAUUAAGUUUAUGGGUGGUGGGAAGCAGGUUCUCACUGUUGGAGUGAGAAUUUACAGAUAAGCAAGGGGAGGAGGCUAGUGUGGUCAUAAUUAGAAUGGGAAACACUGGUAAAAACUCAUGGUAAAAAACAAAUACUCAAAAUACAAUAAAAUAAAAAUAAAUUAAGGCUGAACAUGGUGGCUCAUGCCUAUAAUCCCAGCACUUUGGAAGGCUGAGGCAAGAGGAUUGCUUGGCACCAGCCUGGGCAAUAUAGUAGACCCUCCAUCUCUACAAAAAAUAAAUUAAAACUUAUGGGUAGUUCACUAUUCAGAUACAGAUGGUUAUGUAUGGAAAUAGCUACAGAUAUGGGUAUAUGCAAGGGUUGGUAUACACAUACAUUUCUUUGCUGUCAGCUAAGGAGGCUUAAAAGAAAUGAUACUGCGUUAGCAGUGAGUGUACUUAAUGCCUGUAUGUUGGCUUCUAAUACAAUUAUCCAAUUAAUGCAACCAGGGCUCCAAGGAGAAAUGGCUGAUUCUAAGACUGGGACACCAGGAAAUACAUGAGAUGAGUGAUCCUGGAGCACCUUGCACUGCCAGAAAGUAAAGAAGUGCUCAACACACACACACACACACACACACACACACACACAGCCUCAAAAUCUGUAUUGAUGGUGCCAUGUGAAGAAGGCACAGAAAUCAACUGAAAACACUCCCAACAGCUAAAGCUGAAACAAUUUAAGAAAUAAAAUGAAUAAGGAAGUAUUGGAUUAUAACCCAAAGUGUAAAAUAAAUAUCCAUGAGUCCAUAUUGAUAUAAAUGACUUAUUUAUAUAUAAUGACUAGAUACACUAGCCAAUGAGGAAGAAGAGACAAAUCUCCCAGGCAGAAUUCCAUAUAACCUAGAUAGAUGUGGUGCCCUCAAGGGGAGGGAGCAUAACACCCACUCCUAAGUGUAGGCUGCAUAAACUGACUUUCUCCCAAAGGGCACGGAAAAGGGAGGGGUGAGAGAAAGCAGCUCCACAGUGGAGAAACCUGCCACCGGGUGACUUCAGCCAGGUGACCAAGGUCAACAUCAACAGUGGUAAAUCCUGUUGCUAGAAUGUGUCCUUCAUAUGAUGGGAUGAAAAGUACUCCUCUGUGAGCCUCUUCCCAGAUAAACAUACAGCCAGUCUAAUCAGGAGAAAAACAUCAGACGUUUCCACCAGAAGGGCAUCCCGCCAUACACCUGACCAGUAAUCCUGAAAACUGUCAAGCUCAUCAAAAGCAAGGAAAAUGAGAAACUGCUGCAGUGAAGGGGACCCUCAGGAAAGAGGGCCACUAAAUAGCAUGUGGGAUCCUGGAUGGGACUCUGCAACAAGAUACCAGGCAAAACUAAGGGAAUCUGAAUGAACUAGGGUCUUCAGUUAAUAAUCCUGUAUCAAUAUGUUUAAUGUAACAAAUGUAGCAAAUUAAUAUAAGAUGUUCAUAACAGAGAACACUGUGUGUGGGAUAUGUGGAGACUCUCUGUACUAUCUUCUUUUCCAUAAAUUUAACAUUGUAAAAAUAAAAUCCGCUCAGAAAGCAGAAUGGUGG